GUGUCAGCAGCCGCGGUAAUACGUAGGCAGCGAGCGUUGUUCGGAGUUACUGGGCGUAAAGGGUGCGUAGGCGGUUGUUUAAGUUUGGUGUGAAAUCUCCCGGCUCAACUGGGAGGGUGCGCCGAAUACUGAAUGACUAGAGUGCGGGAGAGGAUAGUGGAAUUCCUGGUGUAGCGGUGAAAUGCGUAGAUAUCAGGAGGAACACCGGUGGUGUAGACGGCUAUCUGGACCGUAACUGACGCUGAGGCACGAAAGCGUGGGUAGCAAACAGGAUUAGAUACCCUCGUAGUCC
rnacentral:rRNA from 1 species